CGAAGGGUGCAAGCGUUACUCGGAAUUACUGGGCGUAAAGCGUGCGUAGGCGGUUCGUUAAGUCCGAUGUGAAAGCCCUGGGCUCAACCUGGGAACUGCAUUGGAAACUGGCGGGCUGGAGUGCGGUAGAGGGUGGCGGAAUUCCCGGUGUAGCAGUGAAAUGCGUAGAUAUCGGGAGGAACACCCGUGGCGAAGGCGGCCACCUGGACCAGCACUGACGCUGAGGCACGAAAGCGUGGGGAGCAAACAGGAUU
rnacentral:rRNA from 1 species